GACGAACGCUGGCGGCGUGCUUAACACAUGCAAGUCGAACGGAAAGGCCCUGCUUUUGUGGGGUGCUCGAGUGGCGAACGGGUGAGUAACACGUGAGUAACCUGCCCUUGACUUUGGUAUAACUUCAGGAAACUGGGGCUACUACCGUAUAGGAGCUCCUGCUGCAUGGUGGGGGUUGGAAAGUUUCGGCGGUUGGGGAUGGACUCGCGGCUUAUCAGCUUGUUGGUGGGGUAGUGGCUUACCAAGGCUUUGACGGGUAGCCGGCCUGAGAGGGUGACCGGCCACAUUGGGACUGAGAUACGGCCCAGACUCCUACGGGAGGCAGCAGUGGGGAAUAUUGCACAAUGGGCGGAAGCCUGAUGCAGCAACGCCGCGUGCGGGAUGACGGCCUUCGGGUUGUAAACCGCUUUCGCCUGUGACGAAGCGUGAGUGACGGUAAUGGGUAAAGAAGCACCGGCUAACUACGUG
rnacentral:rRNA from 1 species